GGCGUAGAGGGCUCGCAGGCGGUUUCUUAAGUCUGAUGUGAAAGCCCCCGGCUCAACCGGGGAGGGUCAUUGGAAACUGGGAAACUUGAGUGCAGAAGAGGAGAGUGGAAUUCCACGUGUAGCGGUGAAAUGCGUAGAGAUGUGGAGGAACACCAGUGGCGAAGGCGACUCUCUGGUCUGUAACUGACGCUGAGGAGCGAAAGCGUGGGGAGCGAACAGGAUUAGAUACCCUGGUAGUCCACGCCGUAAACGAUGAGUGCUAAGUGUUAGGGGGUUUCCGCCCCUUAGUGCUGCAGCUAACGCAUUAAGCACUCCGCCUGGGGAGUACGGUCGCAAGACUGAAACUCAAAGGAAUUGACGGGGGCCCGCACAAGCGGUGGAGCAUGUGGUUUAAUUCGAAGCAACGCGAAGAACCUUACCAGGUCUUGACAUCCUCUGACAACCCUAGAGAUAGGGCUUUCCCUUCGGGGACAGAGUGACAGGUGGUGCAUGGUUGUCGUCAGCUCGUGUCGUGAGAUGUUGGGUUAAGUCCCGCAACGAGCGCAACCCUUGAUCUUAGUUGCCAGCAUUCAGUUGGGCACUCUGAGGUGACUGCCGGUGACA
rnacentral:rRNA from 1 species